rnacentral:rRNA from 1 species
UACGAAGGGUGCAAGCGUUACUCGGAAUUACUGGGCGUAAAGCGCGCGUAGGCGGCUCGGAAAGUCGGGCGUGAAAUGCCGGGGCUCAACCCCGGGACUGCGUCCGAUACUUCCGAGCUGGAGGUAGGUAGGGGAGAUCGGAAUUCCUGGUGUAGCGGUGAAAUGCGCAGAUAUCAGGAGGAACACCGGUGGCGAAGGCGGAUCUCUGGGCCUUACCUGACGCUGAGGCGCGAAAGCUAGGGGAGCGAACAGG